GCAGUUUGGGCCAGGCUAGCAGAAGGGGAGCCGGCCCGGGGGACAACCCCCGCGGCCCACCUCCUGGGCCGGGUGACCUUGAACAAGGCUAUUUGCCUUUGUGCACCCUGAGCCUCAGCCAGGAAGGCGGAGGGGCCGCUCCCUGCCCCAGGGAGGGGAGUGGGCUGGAUGGCACACCCCGCCCUGAGGCUGCUGGCCCAGGGGCACACUCGUGCUCCCCGGGGCCAUCUUUCCCCAGGACCCAGUGGCCUCCUCUGCGGCUCAGCGGGGCCUGGAGGGCCCCGGGAAGUUUCCCCAUCACUUUCCCAGGGCCCAGCUGCUGCCCCGGCUCGGGGGUGGGGGGAGGCCGGGGGCCUGCAGAGGGCCAGGCUGGGCCGUGAGUGGCUCACCUGUUGCCUAGCGAUGAUGCCAUCAAGGCUAGAAUUUUGCCAACAAUGGGGUUGCCGACAUCAGAAUCUGAGGAAGAGCCAGCCCCUCCCUCCUUCCUUUCCUUCUUCCCUCCCUCCCUCCCUCCUUCAGUUGAUCAGAGCUGCUCAGACCAGCAGGAUCCAGCUGCCAGCCAGCUGUUUGAGGAGGGACCGAACACACUCCAGGAGGAAAACCAUGAAUUAAGGGGAUUCCGUCCUCGUGGCCCGUUCGUCCGAACCUCCCCGGCGCCUGAGAGCUCACCUCGUCCGCAGGUGACUCGCCAGUCGAAGGGGACAUCAUGGCUGUAGUUCAUAACGCCAAAGAAAAAGGAGAGUUUGAUGCCUUUCCUGAAAUCAUCGAGCUCAAUGUGGGGGGCCAGGUGUACAUUACCCGUUACCCUACCCUGGUCAGUGUCCAAGGUUCUCUGCUCUGGGAGAUGUUCAGUCAGAAGAACCCCCUGUCCUUGUCCCACGACAACAAAGGGCGCUUCUUCGUGGAUCGAGACGGCUUCCUCUUCCGUUACGUCUUAGACUAUAUGAGGGACCACCAGCUGGUGCUGCCGGACCACUUUCCGGAGCGGAGCCGGCUCAAGAGGGAGGCCGAGUACUUCAAACUGCCGGAUCUCGUCAAGAUCCUGGCCCCCGAUGCCGGGAACAACUCCGUGGCAGACGAGCUCAGGGCGAGCGACUCCGAAGAGCCGCACCCCAUCCCCGCCUCCGGUUUGUCGGUCUCGGCCAGCGGCCCGGGCGACUCCCCGGUGACCACCAGGCCCGGCGCCGGGGCCGCCCGCAAGAGUGGUUAUAUCACCCUAGGCUACCGGGGUUCCUACACCCUGGGCCGGGAUAGCCAGACUGACGCCAAGUUCCGCCGCGUGGCCCGAAUCAUGGUGUGCGGCAAGAUCUCGCUGGCCAAGGAAGUAUUCGGCGAGACCCUGAACGAGAGCCGAGACCCCGACCGCCCCCCCGAGCGGUACACUUCCCGCUACUACCUCAAAUUCAACUACCUAGAGCAAGCCUUCGACAAACUGGCCACUGCCGGCUUCCACAUGGUGACGUCCAACUCCACGGGCACCUGCGCUUGUGCUCAGGACCAGGCCGACGACAAGAUCUGGACCUCUUACACCGAGUAUAUUUUUUACCCUCUUAAGAAACCUCCUCUUCAUCCUCACUGGGACCUCCUGGCUCCAAGCCCUCGGCCCUUUCCUGGCCCAUCACCUCAUGCGCCAUGUUCUCCUCCCUUCCCUGACUCGGGCCCUCGGCGACGUCCCCUCGCGCUCUCGCCAAGCUGAGCUGAUGGUUCUCCCGUCUCCCCUUCCCGGCCCGGACUUUCUGCUGACCCCGAUCUUGUGUAUCUACUUGCCCUUUGGACAGCUCAGACCGAAUGUCCACGAGCCAUCUUCAGCUCAAUCAGUGGGUCUAAAACGGUUCCUCUCUCCUCCCCUCCUCUAUUAUGAGGUCCAGCCUUCCGGCUCUCAAUUUAGGAGUCGAUAUCCACUGUGGCCAAGGCCUGCCGCUUUCACCUUUCCGACAUUUCUCUCUUCUGACACAGUCGCCUCCCUGGCGCUGUCAUUUUCUCCCGCCUGGACUGUGGCAGCAGCUGCCAGGGCCAGAUGGGGAGGGGCGCCGUGGCUCUGCCAGCCUUGGGACUCUCCCGCUCCAGUACGUCCCCCAUUCGGCCACCCAAAGCACAGGUCAGACCGUGCCGCCUUCCCACCUACUCAGCAAACUCCAGGCUCUCCCGCUGCCCCCAGGAUCCAAUCGAACGUCAGCUGCCAUUUACAGCUGUUCACUCCGUGGACCCCGGGUUUGGGUGGAGAGCCUUGGCAAGGCUCCAGGCCUCCGCCCCGGGACGGGCUUGAGAAAAGAGGGAGACAGGAGCUUCCUUGUAUCGUCCUCUGUGUCCAACCCCUCGGGGCCCAGCGAACCCCAGGCAGGAGGAGCCCCGUGUCUCUGAAGGCGCUGCAGAUGGACUCGGACACCGCGGGCCCCACGCCACCUGCAGAGGGAUCGGGACGCGGGACGCGCGGACCUGGGAGCAAGAACAGGCAGCAGAGAGAGACCCGAUGGGACCAGCCCCGGAAGGGGGAGCGGUCAGCGGCUUCGGCAGACGGGGCUCCGCGGAGCUUCGUGCUCUCAUCCUCUCCAAAAUCCAAGAUGGUUUUAGACAAAUGGCUGGGUCUGGCAGACUGCUGGGGGGGGGAGAGAUGGGGCGCAGGCGAUUCUACCUCCCUUCUUUCCCACUGCCCCCCAUUUCUCUAAAACUAUCCAGUUUUUCUGUGUAACGGGAGCACACGGGCAGCUUAGGGGACCCCAAACCCUGGGAUCCUCCGGUCCCCAAAGAAACAAACAGAUGGGGAAGGGGGCAACGGGAAAAAUCCUGCCAACUGCAGAACAAAUGGGGACGGAACUGAGCUACACAUAAGAAAAGGGGAGCCCUUUGGCAGUCGAAGAGCAAGGUGUUGACCCCGCCUCAAGCUGUCCUCCUGAAAGCAAGCUGCAGAAAGUUUCAA